rnacentral:tRNA from 1 species
GCGGGUGUAGCUCAACGGGCAGAGCACCGGACUCCAAAUCCGGCGGUUAUGGGUUCGAUUCCUGUCACCCGUG